rnacentral:rRNA from 1 species
GUACGGGAGGCAGCAGUGGGGAAUUUUGGACAAUGGGCGCAAGCCUGAUCCAGCCAUUCCGCGUGCAGGAUGAAGGCCUUCGGGUUGUAAACUGCUUUUGUACGGAACGAAAAGGCUCCUUCUAAUACAGGGGGCUCAUGACGGUACCGUAAGAAUAAGCACCGGCUAACUACGUGCCAGCAGCCGCGGUAAUACGUAGGGUGCGAGCGUUAAUCGGAAUUACUGGGCGUAAAGCGUGCGCAGGCGGUGAUGUAAGACAGAUGUGAAAUCCCCGGGCUCAACCUGGGAACUGCAUUUGUGACUGCAUCGCUGGAGUGCGGCAGAGGGGGAUGGAAUUCCGCGUGUAGCAGUGAAAUGCGUAGAUAUGCGGAGGAACACCGAUGGCGAAGGCAAUCCCCUGGGCCUGCACUGACGCUCAUGCACGAAAGCGUGGGGAGCAAACAGGAUUAGAUACCCUGGUAGG